CCACUCUGCGGGAACCCAGUCCCGCUCGGCCUCGCCCCUGCCCACAGCAUUGUCCCGCCCCCUUCUGGGCAGCCAGGCCCCUCUCGUCAUGCUUGCCUGGGGUAUAUGGGCUCUCGUAGGCCCGCCCCGUCUGGGCCCCGCCCACAACCAGGUCCCGCCCUCUCUCCCGGGUCGCUAGGUUUCCUGGUUUCCCAGUCUCCUGGUUUCCCAGUCUCCAGGUGUCCCGCGUCAGUCCCGCCAGCUGGGUAUCCCUCCGCACACCUGAGUCUCUGUCCUGAUUCGUUCCUUUCUAGAUUUCUCUCUUAGUGUCUCUCACCUUUGCAUCUCCCUUUUGUUCCUGUUUCGGAGUCUUUCCGGUCUUACUGCCUCAGUGUUUCUGGUCUCUGUCAGUGUUUCUGUGUCGCUUGGUUCCCAUGUCUUUCCAACCCUUUGGCUGUUUCUUGUUUCUCUCUCCCUGUGUCUCUUGUUUCACUGUCCCUGUCUCUUUCUGUGUCUUACUAUGCCUGUGACUCUGUUUCUUUCCUCGCCUCUACCUCGCUCUUCUCGGUGUCCCUCUCUCCCCGCCUGCCCGGGUCCCCUCUCCCGCGCAGGGUCUGCGGUCCCCGUUCCAGGGCCGCCCGCCAGGGGGCAGCACAGACCGCCCCGCGCUUUGCCAGGCUGGCUGGGCCGGGCUGGCUGGGCGGGGCUGGCCUGGCCGGCUCGGACCCUGCGGUCCCUCCCCGUGUCCUUGUCCCACUUCACCGCUCCAGCCUCCCCGCGUCUUUGUGUCUCUCUCUGACUCGGCCCCUUUGUCUCCCGCUGGCCCGCGCCUCCCCGCCCCCACCUGCCUCUCAUAUUCCUGGCCACCGGGGGAGGCGCCCUGGGCCGGUGAGGGCAGAGGCUGGAGGCCGAGGCGGGGACGCCUUGAGCGCUGGACCCGGAGCCUUCAGGCGGGCGGGGUGCGAGCUGAGCUGGUCAGCAGGGGCUGGCAUGUUAGGGCUUCUUGUCCUGCAGGCUGGCUCAUGUCCACCUGCCACACACCUGGCUCUCCUCCCCAGAGGGCAGUCCCUGGCCCCGCAGGCUUUCGCUGACCCACGUCCAAGAGCUGGUAAAGGAGCUGCCACACUCUGCGGCUUUCCUUAUCACUCAAGUCCUUCUGGGACAGAGCAGGCCUCACCUGAGCUGGGCCAAACAGAGGACUUGAUGUCCCUGGCUUUGGUUCAGGAAUGGGAAUGGAUCGGAGCCCCUGGAUCCAGCUAUGCCUGAAGUCUCACAUGUAGUUCAAGCUGGCCUUGAACUCCCUAUGUAGUCCAGGCUGGCCUCAAGCUUGCAGUGAUCCUCCUGCCUCAGCCUCCCAAGUACCUGGAACUACGAGUUUGUGCCACCAUACCUGGCUUUUAAAAUUUUUUUCUAAUCUAUUAAUAGUUAUUAAUCUCUUAUUGUACCUCAUUUAUAAAUCAAACUAUAUCAAUAUCUAUCUGAAAAAAACCAUAACAUCAAAGGUUCAGUACUAUCUGUGGUUUCUGGCAUUUGUUGGGAGUUUUGGAAUAUGUCCCUGGUGGAUGAGAGGGUCUAUUGUAUUAACAAUGUAGGGUGGGGAUUUAGCUCAGUGGCACCGCACCUGCCUUGAAAGCACAAGGUC